UUCAUCUGUUUAAAAUUACUUAAUGUUUAUGGUUACAUCACACUUGCCAUUUUUUUUAUGUAGUAGUAUGAGGAAUCUGAAAGUAGGAUCAUUUAUUAACUUGCCUGUCCUGCCUUAUGAACAUGUAAAUUGUUUAGAAGUGUAGAAAGACGUUUUAAUUGUUUUAAACCUAAUGAUAAGUGAUCACGGCGCUACAUAUUUGUGGUGUAAAUGUCUUUAAUGGAUGGAACAGAACAUAAGGAUAUACUAGUCGUGUGGUGUUCAUGUUUGACUUAUUCACUUAGGUACUGUAUGGAAUUCAAUUUAAUUUAUGAUUUUCUGUAUAUGUAUACCCUUUAAUAUAUACUACUCAAUACUA